CGCCUGCACCACUGCCUCCCACAGUUUUUGGCAAUGGUAGAACUCACACUGGUGAGGUAAUGGGAUCCGGUGGUUCUAGACUUGCCAACUACGGUGUGAGGCCU
ensembl:miRNA